GAUGAACGCUGGCGGCGUGCCUAAUACGUGCAAGUCGAGCGAACAGACGAGGAGCUUGCUCCUCUGACGUUAGCGGCGGACGGGUGAGUAACACGUGGAUAACCUACCUAUAAGACUGGGAUAACUUCGGGAAACCGGAGCUAAUACCGGAUAAUAUAUUGAACCGCAUGGUUCAAUAGUGAAAGACGGUUUUGCUGUCACUUAUAGAUGGAUCCGCGCCGCAUUAGCUAGUUGGUAAGGUAACGGCUUACCAAGGCAACGAUGCGUAGCCGACCUGAGAGGGUGAUCGGCCACACUGGAGCUGGGACACGGUCCAGACUCCUACGGGAGGCAGCAGUAGGGAAUCUUCCGCAAUGGGCGAAAGCCUGACGGAGCAACGCCGCGUGAGUGAUGAAGGUCUUCGGAUCGUAAAACUCUGUUAUUAGGGAAGAACAAAUGUGUAAGUAACUAUGCACGUCUUGACGGUACCUAAUCAGAAAGCCACGGCUAACUACGUG
rnacentral:rRNA from 1 species